rnacentral:rRNA from 1 species
AGGACGAACGCUGGCGGCGUGCUUAACACAUGCAAGUCGAACGAUGAAGCCUUUCGGGGUGGAUUAGUGGCGAACGGGUGAGUAACACGUGGGCAAUCUGCCCUUCACUCUGGGACAAGCCCUGGAAACGGGGUCUAAUACCGGAUAAUACCUUCUCGGGCAUCUGAGGGGGUUGAAAGCUCCGGCGGUGAAGGAUGAGCCCGCGGCCUAUCAGCUUGUUGGUGGGGUGAUGGCCUACCAAGGCGACGACGGGUAGCCGGCCUGAGAGGGCGACCGGCCACACUGGGACUGAGACACGGCCCAGACUCCUACGGGAGGCAGCAGUGGGGAAUAUUGCACAAUGGGCGAAAGCCUGAUGCAGCGACGCCGCGUGAGGGAUGACGGCCUUCGGGUUGUAAACCUCUUUCAGCAGGGAGAAGCGCAAGUGACGGUACCUGCAGAAGAAGCACCGGCUAACUACGCGCCAGCAGCCGCGGUAA